rnacentral:lncRNA from 1 species
UAAAUUAUUUGAACAAAUUGUAAUAAAGAAAGGACACAAAUGAUGAAGUUAUCACGGACAAAAAAGAAAUAGAGAACAAAGGGAAGAAGUAAAUUCUCCAUCGUCAAGAGUUACAUUAUUGUCCACACGUUGAGAAAACCAGUAAUACGGAAAAGAGUACAAUCGCACUACAACAAAAACGGUUUAUAGCGACACUUUUAAGUGUCCCUAAAACCUAAAAAAAGUGCUGCUAGCAAAAAUACCGACACUAAAAAUAGUGUCGCUAUAUGUGCAGUCUCCAGGGUAUAUAGCGACACAUAAUAAAGUGUCGGUAUAUCCCAAAAUAAGUGCUGCUAUUUAGUGACACUUUUUUGAUUUUAGUGACACAAAUAAGUGUC